rnacentral:lncRNA from 1 species
AAAAUGAUAAAAAAUUUAAUAAAUGUAAAAUACUUUAAAAAAUUUAUUUAAAAUUAAUUCUUCUAGUUUUUUGAGAUGCAAAAUUACUAAUCAAACUUUUGCACCCAAGAUUCAUUAAAAUACUAUUUUCAGUCGAUAAUAUAGCUAAUCCAUUUAAUCUUUCUUGAGACAUAGUUGAUCACAAAUAAGAUUUUAUCAGCUUUAAUUUUGAAAAACUUCUUUCAGCAAAAGCAAUUGUCACAGGUAUUAUUAACAAUAUUCUGUAAGCAAUGCAUACAUUUGAAUAUAUAUAUAUAUAUAUAUAUUUUAUAAAACUUAAAAUAUCAAUAGGGAUGCUAGUUUCUGCUUGUAAAACUUCUUUGAAAAUUUUUAACUCUGAAAACAUAUCAACACCAUCAAUAUCAGAAUAUUCACCAUGCUUUGAAAAGUUUUUAAAAUUAAGACAAUAUUUUUUAAAAUCCUCUUCAUUCAAAGAUUUUAACUUUCUAAAAUUAAACAAAAAACUAAAAACAUCUUCAUAUAUGGUGAAUUGUUCAAACCUAUUUUGAAUUGAAGAAAUAGCUUGAUCUACUAUAUAUAAAAAGUAAUCAAUUCUAAAAGAUUCUUCAGCUGAUCUUGUUGUCUUAUCAUCACUAUUUUCAUCAAAUUAUUUUCUUCUACGGAUCACACGUUUUUCAUGAAAUGCAGGUUCUAUUUUCAUUUCAUUUACAAUUUUUUUAGAUAAAAUCAAAGCAGACAUGAAUCCAUUU